UAAUACGGAGGGGGCGAGCGUUGUUCGGAAUUACUGGGCGUAAAGCGCGCGUAGGCGGUCGUGCAAGUCGGAUGUGAAAGCCCUCGGCUCAACCGAGGAACUGCGUCCGAUACUGCUCGACUUGAGUCCGGUAGGGGAUGGCAGAAUUCCCGGUGUAGCGGUGGAAUGCGUAGAUAUCGGGAGGAAUACCGAUGGCGAAGGCGGCCAUCUGGGCCGGAACUGACGCUGAGGCGCGAAAGCUAGGGGAGCAAACAGG
rnacentral:rRNA from 1 species